GCCUAGACUGUGUAACUGUUGCUAUAUAAUCUGGACAUGCAGGACCCAUAGAAAAGUGACUACUAAAUUUUGACAGUCCUUCAGGGUUCCUGCUUCAUGGAAGAGUCUACUGGACUUUCUGCAGGACUCAGAAAAAUAAUCGACAAACUACCAAUAUAGAUGGACAGUUUAAAAUUUCCUGCUUUGCUGAGAAGUCUGCCAGACACUGUAGUAUAUGGGCUGAAGCCCCAACAUUACAGAGGAGACUGUCCAGGACACUGGAGACAUUGGAGAAGCUACCCCACAGCAUACGGAGAUAGAUUUCGUGAAGGCUGGAUUCUUGUUACCAUGCGAGUGAACUGUUCCAAGCACUUCUCAAGGAAGAGCCUAUGAUGAAAGGCGCCAUGACUUCAGGAGCCAUACCAGUAUGAAUGCUACAGUUAUGUCCUUCCUAGCUCUUAUUAGUAAUGGCUGAGAGCAGAACCACACUAGAGCCCAGGUGUUCCUACCCUAAGGGCCUUCUUCCACACUAAAUCUCUCCUUCGGACCUCCUUCCCUGUUGCCUGGCUAAGACUUUAUUAGAGCUUUUAUUAUUUGAAGGCCUCUUACCAUAACCGCUCCUUUGUUUCUCCUUUCAUAGCUGUUGGGUCUAAAUCUCUCCUCAACUGAUCCCAUUCUCCUACUCUCCUUCUUUCAUGGAUUUUUCUCACACUAAAUCUCUUGGCCCUUUAAUUCUAACUUGACAUCUGCAUCCUGGUGACAGAAUGAGUAGAUCUUCCCCCUUCAUUAUAAAAAGAAGUGCUACGUGGAAUAAGUGGAGUUAGGUCAUUAUUCUAAGAUCCAAAACAAUUUUGUCAUUUUUAAAAGGUAAAAUUAUGAUAAUCAGAUAAUUAUUUGUUGGGGCUGGAGAGAUGUCUUGCCUUCACAGUUAAGAGCACUUGAUUUUCUCCCAGAGAACCUGAGUUUAUUUUCCACCUAAGUCAGGCGGCUCACAACUGCCUGUAACUCCAGCUCCCAGGGAUCAGGGGCCCUAUUCUGGACUCCUAAGCCUCCCACACAUAGGUGGUGUCCACACACAGAAACACACAUAGGUAAAAAUAAGUCUUUAAAAAGGAAAAAGGUUUAUGUUAUUAUUUUUUCUCUUUAUUUAAAUUAGAAACAAGCUUGCUUCAUGUGUCAAUCCCAGCUCCCUCUCCUUCUCCCUCCUCCCCCAAACCAGCGCCCCCAACCCCCUAUCUGAUCCCUACUCAGCUCUCAAGGGAGAGUGAGGUCCUUCAUGGGGGAAUCUCCAAAGUCUGUCAUAUCAUUCUGGGCAGGGCCUAAGCCCUUCCCCAUGUGUUCAGAGUGAGAGAGCACCCCUCCAUGUGGAUUGGGCUCCCAAAGUUCAUUUAGAUGCCAGGGAUAAAUACUGAUCUAGUACUGGAGGCCCCAAAGCUUGCCAAGGCCUCCUUACUGACACCAACGUUCAGAGGGUCUGGAUCUAUCUGGGGUCCAUGAGCUACAUCUUGUUCAUAUUCUUUGAAGUCACAAGUUUCUUCUUUUCUCAUGUAAUAAAUAUAUGGUUAGUCACUGUAUCUUUAUUGCUCAUAAGUUAAAGAUGUUAUGAUAAAACUAUUCAGUGCUUUGUAAAUGAAAUAGCUCUCAUCAAGCACAAUAGCAAAAGCUAAAAGUGUACACUACAAACCUCAUUGUUGUCUCUGUUCUGGUUAAGAACUGCUGUAUGCAGCUAAGGUACAAAAUUAGGUACAACACCAUAGAGCAGUGCACGCGUGCUGUGUGUGAUUGUAGGCUUUAAGUGGUGCUGAUGUCUAUCUUAUUUUCCUAUCACAUGCUGAUGUGACAUUUCAUUAAGGGUGGCACUUAGUACAACCUUCAGAUCAGCCUUUACCCUGGGCACAUAGUUUUUCUUCCUUCUCCAAAACAUGUCACAUACACACACAAGAACAAGGUUAAUUUCCUGUUUACUGAACAAGCAGAACAUAAUAAUUAGUGUUUAGACUGUAGUAGCUCACAUUUUAAUAAACUGAUGAUAUGGAGAAACAAA